rnacentral:rRNA from 1 species
UACAGAGGGGGCAAGCGUUAUUCGGAAUCACUGGGCGUAAAGGGCGCGUAGGCGGCUUGAUAAGCGUGCGGUGAAAGCCCGGGGCUCAACCCCGGGUCGGCCGUGCGAACUGUCGAGCUGGAGCACUGUAGAGGCAGGUGGAAUUCCGGGUGUAGCGGUGGAAUGCGUAGAGAUCCGGAAGAACACCGGUGGCGAAGGCGGCCUGCUGGGCAGUGGCUGACG